rnacentral:lncRNA from 1 species
ACCAGUGCUACAUGAUAUUUGUCCUCCGAAAAAGCAUUACAAAUUUUGUUAUCAUCUUGCUUGCUUGCUUCAUUUUAGCUUCUUUAUUUUGCUUAUUAUUGUGUUACUGAAGGAAGAGAUUUCUUAUAAUUAGAGCGUCUUUUCUUAUAUUUAAAACACAUUUGUAGAUUAAUUUUCGGACUAUUAUUUUGAGACAUUGAAAGAACCAUUAGUAAAAAAGUAGCAAC